rnacentral:rRNA from 1 species
UGGGGAAUUUUCCGCAAUGGGCGAAAGCCUGACGGAGCAAUACCGCGUGAGGGAGGAAGGCUUUUGGGUUGUAAACCUCUUUUUUCAAGGAAGAAGCAAGUGACGGUACUUGAAGAAUCAGCAUCGGCUAACUCCGUGCCAGCAGCCGCGGUAAUACGGAGGAUGCAAGCGUUAUCCGGAAUCAUUGGGCGUAAAGCGUCCGCAGGUGGCGUAUCAAGUCUGCUGUCAAAGACAGAAGCUCAACUUCUGGCAGGCAGUGGAAACUGGUAAGCUAGAGUACGGUAGGGGUUGAGGGAAUUCCCAGUGUAGCGGUGAAAUGCGUAGAUAUUGGGAAGAACACCAGUGGCGAAGGCGCUCAGCUGGGCCGUAACUGACACUGAGGGACGAAAGCUAGGGGAGCGAAAGGGAUUAGAUACCCCCGUAGUCC